rnacentral:ncRNA from 2 species
GAUGUUCUUCAGGGCAGGGUGACUUUUUUAAAGAAUUCCCGACCGACGGUGAUACCACGAUGUGGGCAAGUCCGUGAGCCAUAUGGCAGGAUAUUGGUGAGAAUCCAAAACCGACAGUAUAGUCUGGAUGAGAGAAGAUAACA